CAAUAGCGUAUAUUAAAGUUGUUGCAGUUAAAAAGCUCGUAGUUGGAUUUGUGGCGUACGGUGUGUUCCGGGCACUUGUUGUCUGAGUGACCUGCUGUUGCCAUCCUUGGGUGGAACCUGUGUGGCAUUAGGUUGUCGUGCAGGGGAUGCCCAUCAUUUACUGUGAAAAAAUUAGAGUGUUCAAAGCAGGCUUAUGCCGUUGAAUAUAUUAGCAUGGAAUAAUGAGAUAGGACUUUUUUGCUAUUUUGUUGGUUUGCGCAAAGAGGUAAUGAUUAAUAGGGACAGUUGGGGGUAUUCGUAUUCCAUUGUCAGAGGUGAAAUUCUUGGAUUUUUGGAAGACGAACUACUGCGAAAGCAUUUACCAAGGAUGUUUUCAUUAA
rnacentral:rRNA from 1 species